rnacentral:rRNA from 1 species
AGACGUCUACAUUAGAUACCCCGGUAGUCCCAGCCGUAAACUAUGCGCGUUAGGUGUAUCGGUGACCACGAGUUACCGAGGUGCCGAAGGGAACCGUGAAACGUGCCGCCUGGGAAGUACGGUCGCAAGGCUGAAACUUAAGGAAUUGGCGGGGAGCACCACAACAGGUGGAGCCUGCGGUUUAAUUGGACUCAACGCCGGGAAGCUCACCGGAUAGGACAGCAGAAUGAUUGCCGGGCUGAAGACCCUGCAUGACUAGCUG